rnacentral:rRNA from 1 species
CCUACGGGAGGCAGCAGUGAGGAAUAUUGGUCAAUGGACGAAAGUCUGAACCAGCCAAGUAGCGUGAAGGAUGACUGCCCUAUGGGUUGUAAACUUCUUUUAUAUGGGAAUAAAACGUUCCACGUGUGGGAUGUUGUAUGUACCAUAUGAAUAAGCAUCGGCUAACUCCGUGCCAUCAGCCGCGGUAAUACGGAGGAUCCGAGCGUUAUCCGGAUUUAUUGGGUUUAAAGGGAGCGUAGGUGGAUUGUUAAGUCAGUUGUGAAAGCUUGGGGCUCAACCGUUAAAUUGCAGUUGAAACUGGCAGUCUUGAGUACAGUAGAGGUGGGCGGAAUUCGUGGUGUAGCGGUGAAAUGCUUAGAUAUAACGAAGAACUCCGAUUGCGAAGGCAGUUCACUGGACUGCAACUGACACUGAGGCUCGAAAGCGUGGGUAUCAAACAGGAUUAGAUACCCUAGUAGUC